rnacentral:rRNA from 1 species
UACGGGAGGCAGCAGUGGGGAAUAUUGCACAAUGGGCGCAAGCCUGAUGCAGCCAUGCCGCGUGUAUGAAGAAGGCCUUCGGGUUGUAAAGUACUUUCAGCGGGGAGGAAGGCGAUGUGGUUAAUAACCGCGUCGAUUGACGUUACCCGCAGAAGAAGCACCGGCUAACUCCGUGCCAGCAGCCGCGGUAAUACGGAGGGUGCAAGCGUUAAUCGGAAUUACUGGGCGUAAAGCGCACGCAGGCGGUCUGUUAAGUCAGAUGUGAAAUCCCCCGGGCUUAACCUGGGAACUGCAUUUUGAAACUGGCAGGCUUGAGUCUCGUAGAGGGGGUAGAAUUCCAGGUGUAGCGGUGAAAUGCGUAGAGAUCUGGAGGAAUACCGGUGGCGAAGGCGGGCCCCUGGGACGAAGACUGACGCUCAGGUGCGAAAGCGUGGGGAGCGAAACGAGGAUUAGGAUACC